rnacentral:misc_RNA from 1 species
AAACCUCAACCUCCCUGGUUUCUUCUGGAGAUCAAAGGAGGCUUGGACUUUGGAGGCCUUUGCUGGUGUCUCUGCCAGCUCCUCUCAAAUGAAUUAGUGGGGUCCUCUUUGCUGAUCCUUGACAUGUGAUAAGAUGCUUCCGUGUCUCGGUUUCUGGCUCUGUUGCCUUUGGGACCCGCUUCUAACCGUCUAGACCUUGCGUCGAGACAACGUUCGAGCAUGUCUCCCUCGUCGGGAAACGUUCUCGACCUCACGAAC